GGACCAGCAUGGUGUAGUGGUUCAAGCGUUGAAGUACUAUGACUCUGGAGACCAGGGUUCGAUUCCCUGCUCGGCCA